rnacentral:rRNA from 1 species
GACGAACGCUGGCGGCGUGCUUAACACAUGCAAGUCGAACGGAAAGGCCCUGCUGUUGUGGGGUGCACGAUUGGCGAACGGGUGCGUACCGCGUGAGUAACCUGCCCUUGCCUUUGGGAUAACUUCAGGUAACUGGGGCUAAUACCGGCUAGUAGCUCAUGCUGCUUGGUGGGGGUUGGAAAGUUUCGGAGGUUGGGGAUGGACUCGCGGCUUAGCAGCUCGUCGGUGAGGUAGUGUCUUACCAAGGCUUUGACGGAUAGCCGGCCUGAGAGGGUGACCGGCCACAUUGGGACUGGGGUAGGGCCCGGACUGCUACGGGAGGCAGCAGUGGAGAAUAGUGCACGAUGGGCGGAAGCCGUGUGCAGCAUCUCCGCGUGGGGGAUGACGGCCUUCGGGUUGUAAACCGCGUGCGCCUGUAACGAUGCGUGUGUGACGGUAAUGGGUAAAGAGGCACCGGCUAACUACGUG